rnacentral:rRNA from 1 species
CACGUAGGGCGCGAGCGUUGUCCGGAAUUAUUGGGCGUAAAGAGCUCGUAGGCGGCCUGUUGCGUCCGCUGUGAAAGCCCGGGGCUUAACCCCGGGUCGGCAGUGGAUACGGGCAGGCUAGAGGUAGGUAGGGGAGAAUGGAAUUCCCGGUGUAGCGGUGAAAUGCGCAGAUAUCGGGAGGAACACCGGUGGCGAAGGCGGUUCUCUGGGCUUACCUGACGCUGAGGAGCGAAAGUGUGGGGAGCGAACAGG